ensembl:lncRNA
UGGGGUGGGGAUAUAGUUAAUGUGCUGCCCAGAGGCGUCACUAUUGCCCAUUGUGAAAAGACCCCUUUUCUGUAGGAAAGACUGCUUUUCCAUAGAAAUCAGGGGCCACUCUAGGUGAAAGCCAGAGCCAACCACAGACUGUGCCAGGGACCUUGUUGUGGGACAUCUGGUGGUGGCCAGGUGCACCUGUAGAAGGCAGGCAGGAAGGCAGCCGAGAUGGGGCUUAGCAGAGGCACUCGAUGGAGGCUGCCCUCUAAGUCAGAGGGUGCCCUUUAAGACAGAGCCAGCCGCUGCGCUCUCCUCACCACUGAAAGGGGCUGUUUUGGUCAUUUGUCCUUCUAAAAGCUAUGAUGAUUCUUUUAUUCACUUAAAAUGUCACUGGGUGUUGAAGCACUGACAAUGUAAACUAGAAGCCUGCAGACCAACGUCCAUAUAGAUUUUUAAAUGAUGUGCAUGGUUGAAAAGGACCCUGAUUUCUGAUUGCAUGGUUUUCCCCAAAAGAAAUAUAUAUUCUUGGGAUGGUGAGUGUGACAGACGGCAUGGAGAGGGGGAUCCUGUAUAGAAACGUGUUGUGUUACGUCUCUUUUGCAUACAUCUAUCUCAAGAAUAUGGGUUUCCCAGUUCCUUUUUAAACACCAGCCAGGAAGGAGAUGAUUAUGGUAAGAAUCUGGCAGCUGAGUGAAAUGGUCUAGUGAACUUUGGAGUGUGUCUGGAGGGGGAGCCGGGGGGUGGUGUGUGAAUGUGUUGGGAGAGGAAGCAGCAGGGAGAUGAGGGAGAAACAAGGAAGGGUUCUCAAUUAUAAAAGAUAUGUGUAGCUAAGAGGAGUCUUCAGUAAUCCUGGUGGUGAUGUUAUACGUUCUGAUAUCCAUCUUUGAGAAAAAGAGCUUGUGGGUCUUUUGUUUUGAGGAAUUGUACAGUGCCCUACUCUCUUUGAUGAACGCAUAGCCUUGUGAAGAGGGGGCCCCCACCCCACCCCCAGGCCACACAGAUCCCUGAUGCACCUGGCAGGAGCCCAGAGAAACCACGGUGGAGUCCAGACUGUGGGAUGCUUGACAGAUCUGAUGAUACCCAGCUAUGGGGAGUGUGUUACUGUUCUUACCACUUUUAAAGUCUUGACUUUAAAUAAACUGUUAUAGCAGUGUCUUAUGGUGUGACAGACAAUUAGGCAUUUCUUGCAUCACAUAUAAGAAUUUAAUGAUAAGUGUGAGGUAGUUAAGUGGACUCUUCCAAGAAUACUGGGGGUUUUUUUCAUGCCUUUUUGGUACAUAAAUAAUAUAUCCCUUUUUUUUUUAAGAAGAAACUACAAUAAGUGAAAAAAAAAUCACUUGUUGUUAUACCAUCUGUUUAUAACCACUGUUAACACUUUAGCAUAUAUCUUUUCAGACAUUUUUGUAUGCAUCUAUAUAAGUUUUAUUACUUUUUUCAUGAGAUGCAACUAUGUUAUACAUAUUAUACUUUUUUAACUUGCUUUUUUCCUUUUAACACUAUAUUGUGACUAUAUUUCUACGUCAGUAAAUGUGUAACAGCAUCAUGUUUAACAUCUGUGUAGGUUGUACUUUCGUUACUUAGGUUGUUCCCAAUUUUAUAUGGUUGUGCUCAAGGAUCAGAGAAGGCAAUGGCACCUGACUCCAGUGCUCUUGCCUGGAAAACCCCAUGGACGGGCUGCAGUCCAUGGCAUCGCUAAGAUUCAGACACGACUGACCAACUUCACUUUGACUUUUCACUUUCAUGCAUUGGAGAAGGAAAUGGCAACCCACUCCAGUGUUCCUGCCUGGAGAAUCCCAGGGAAGGGGGAGCCUGGUGGGCUGCUGUCUGUGGGGUCGCACAGAGUUGGACACAACUGAAUCGACUUAGCAGCAGCUCAAGGAUAUGAUGAAACCCUUUCUUCUAACAUCUUCAUGAGCUUCUCAGAAUAUUUACUUAGGAUAACUUUCUAAAAUUGGACUUGCUGGCUCAAAGUAUGAAGGGUGGUACAAGCACACCCUGUCUUCUCCCCCACUCCUGGGCAUACAGGAGACACCACUUCCCAGCCCCUAGAGUCAUCCAGGUCUUGUUCCUAAUUAUGGCCAAAGAAGUAUGAGCAGCAGUGACACGUGACACAUCCAGGCUGAGACUCUGAGAUGCCCCCGGGCAGGUCUGCAGACUCCUGUUGCCUUGGUGACGUCCCAGGGCUGGAGCCUCUGUCAGCCUGGGUCCCUGAGUGACUGUGUGGAUAGCUCCCCUUCUCCCACUGUGACACGGCCCCACCUGCAUGAACCUGCAGUGUGAAUAAAGAAUAAAUGUUAAGUCUUAACACUACUGGCAUGUCAGGGUUAUUUUGUUACUGCAGCACACGUAGUGUAUCCUGACUAAGAAUACAAUAUGCACAUGUUGGGGACUUUUAAUAUGGGGCUUCCCUGGUGGCUCAGCUGGUAAAUAUCUCACCUCAAAUUGCCUUCCAGAAAGAUGAUACCAAAUUAUACUCCCACCACCAGUAUGUGAGAAUGCCUGACUCCCUCUUUUGCAUUGGUGUUACUACAGGGCUAGUUUUGAUAUGCAUUUUUUUAAUUGAAAGUGUGACCACCCUAGCUGAAAUAUUUAUUAGAUUAUAUUCUUUUCUUGUUUACCUAUUCAUCUUCUCUGGCCAAUUUUCUCACAAGGUGUUUAGCUGUCUCAUUGAUUUCUAAGAAGUUGUUUCCCCAGCCGCCCUCACUGCCCCCUGAUUAGCUGACUCGUUGAUUUCUAAGUUGUUUUUCCCCUAAAAAUAUUUUUUUUUAAGUUCCAUGUAUGACUUUGACUAAAAAAAUUUUUAUUUUUAGUCAACUUUAUCUUUUCCUUCAUGACUGCUGCCUUUGCUGGCCUGCUUUUAAACAUCUUUGCAUUUCUGAUUUCAAGUUUGUAUGAAUUUUCACCAGUCUUUUAUUUGUGUACUUUUAUCGUUUUGUUUAAGCAAUUAAAUCUGUGAUCCAUUUGGAAUUUAUUUUCCAAAUUCUAAUAAAUUUGAAUUUUAUUUUCCAAGUUACCCCAGUAUCACUUAUGGGGAAAGCUUUCCUUUCUCUACUGAUACAAGAUCCCAUUUUUCACUGUGUACACAGUCCUUAUGUAUCAUAAACAUCCUUCUGAACUUGCUGUUGUGGUCCAUUGUGUGCAUUUUGGCACUGGUACCACAUAGUUUGAUCAGCUCACAUUUAAAUGUCCCCGUUUAAAUAAAUGUCUUCAAAAAUGUCCUAGUACUUUUAUAUGUUGCUAUUUCAGGUUCGUUUUGUAAUGUUUAUAGAAGAACUGGAAAUUAAAUUGUGUAAAAUUUAUGGGUUACUAUAGAGAGAAUUGGGCUUCCUUCGUGGCUCAGACGGUAAAGAAUCUGCCUGCAUUGUGGGAGACCUGGGUUCAAUCCCUGGGUUGGGAAGAUCCCCAGGGGAGGGCAUGGCAACUCACUCCAGUAUUCUUGCCUGGAGAAUCUCCAUGGAAAGCCCUGGUGGGCUGUAGUCUACGGAGCUGCAAAGAGUCAGACACGACUGAGUGACUUAGCACAACACAUAGCGAGAAUUAACAUCUUCAUAAUAUUUAACCUUUCAUUUCAGUAAAUUUACAAAGUAUUGUGUUCCUCUGUGUAUUUUUUCUGGUAUAGAUCAUUUUUUUGUAGUUGUGGUUACUAUGGUAAAUGAGCACUUUGUCCAUUAUAUUUCCAGCCUCUUAUUGUUCACAUAAAGGUAUACCACUGAUUAAAUCAAUUAAAUCCAUUGAUUUUUUAUAUUUAAAAUAUUACAUAAAAGCUAUGUAAAUGUAAAGAUUAUGAAAAAACAUAAUUUGGAAGUUGAAAGUUCCCCAUAAUUAAAAAUCCCUCUGCCCCAAGAUAAAACAGUCAACAGGGAUCUACUGCUGCUGCUGCUGCUAAGUUGCUUCAGUCAUGUCCGACUCUGUGUGACCCCAUAGAUGGCAGCCCACCAGGCUCCUCUGUCCAUGGGAUUUUCCAGGCAAGAGCACUGGAGUGGGGUGCUAUUGCCUUCUCCACAACAGGGAUCCCUGGUCCUCACAUCUUUUUUUCCUGAAAUAUACUUUAUCAUUUGGACCAUAUGAUAGACCCUUCUGCUACUUGCAUUUUUCCCUUGGCAAUAGAUCUUGGACAUUUUCCUGUCUGUACAUAUCAAUCUACCUCAUUUUUCUUAACUCUUCAUAGAGAGUUCCGUGGUUGUUUAUUUGUUUAUCUAACGUGAUAAUUGGUUAUUUAUUUUGUAGCUAGUCAGUUACCGAAUUUCCUUUUAAUUGCUUUGUUGUUGUUAUUGUUAAUUCUCUUGCCUUUUUCACAUAGAUAAUAGUUCUGAGUCGUGAUGGUAACUUUACCUCCAUAUUUUUAAAUAAUCUUAUUUCACUACCUUAUCACGUUGACCAGCACUUUUAGAAUAAUGGUAAAUAACACCUAUAUAAAUUGUGCCGAUAUUGUACAUUCUUCUUUAUAUAUAUUUUUUACGUGGUGAGAAUAUCUCCAGUGUUUCUUCAGAAGUACAAAUUUGACUCUUAGUAUGAGAUAUUCUUAACAUUUAAAUUUAUAUAGUGUUAGGUCCUUUUCUUUCUAAGUUUGCUGAAAGUUUUAUCCAUAAUGGAUGUUGGCAUUUUAUUAAAUGCCUUUUGUUUCCCACAUCUUUCAAGAUGAUCAAAUGGUUUUUCUUUACCAUGACUUAAUAUGAAUCAUUUUAAUAGAUUUGCUAAUGUCAGACUGUCUCUGCAUUUCUAGAAAAAUCUAAUGUUGUCAUGGUAUAUUAUUCUUUGAUGUACAUCUCCUUUCAGUGUUAACAGUGGUUAUUUAUGAUGGGUUGGUUUAUGCUAGACUUUUGUGUUCUUAUCUUUUUCUGAUUUUUCUACAUGGCUCUGCUAUGACUUGUCUAAUAAAAAUUGGAGCUUUAAAAUAAGGAAAAUACUCUGGAUUUGGCUUCCUCUUGUUUUAACGUUUGUUUUUCAAAUGUUAAAGUGGAUACUUGUAUAGUUUUUUUUUUCCUGCUUUCUUUGUCAGGUAUUGAUGUUGGUAAAGGACUUGGGAAGCUCUAUCUCUUUUUUCUAUGCCCUGGAACAAUUUAAAUAAUAUUGAGAAUUUUUUGCUCCUUGAAGUCUUUAUAACAUAUAUAAAUCUGUCCAAGUCUAGUGCCUUUAUAGGAAAUAAUUCUUUGACAAUUUAUUCAAUGUUCCACACUCAUUAGUCUCUUUAAACUUUCUUCAUAUUAUGUAAGUUUUUGGCAACUUAAACUUCCUAAAUAAUCAUUCUGUUCAGACUUUCAAAUUUGCUGGGCUGGCACUAUUAUAUUUUCUUUUCUCGUUCAUAACGUUCUAUGCCUGUGCUUUUUAUUUUAGGGCUUAAAUCUUAAUUUACUGUUUUACCAUUUUAUGAUGUUUUGGUUACUUUUUGGUUUUAUUAAUUCCUUCCUGUAUCUUAUGAUGUUUUUUCACCUUCUCAAGUUGAAUGCCAUUUUAACUUUUUCCUGUUUAAUAGUAGAUAUAGUUACUAGCAUUCAUAAGGCUAUAUGAUUUUUCUUCUGGAUAUUUCUUUAUCUGUAACCCUUACAUGUUUAGGUAUGGUGUUCUAAGUUCUAAUAAUUUGUAAUUUCAGAUUUGACUUUAUAUUUUACUUAAGAGUUAUUUGAAAUUAUACUUUUAACUUUCCAGAUAGUUUGAUACUCUUUGUUGUUGUUUUAACACUUGUUAUAAAUUUCUGCUUUUACUGCCUUGCUGUCAAAGAGGGUGUGGCCUGUACAAUUUCUGCAUUCAGGAGUUCAUUGAUGUUUUCUUGGGACCUAAUAAAUUGUCUAUUUUAAUAAAUAUUCCCAGGAAACUGGAAAGGAAGGUGUAUUCUCAGAAGGGAACAAAAUUCAAUCUAUAUGUGUUGAUUUGACCUUAUUAAUUAUAAUGUUAUGGAGUUUUAAUUUCUGCUGACCUGAUUCAUUAAAGACUAAGGAAAGUAUGUUAGUCUCCCACUACUGAUGUAUUUCUAUUUAUCUUGUGUUUCUAACAGUUUUUGCUUCAUAUGUUUCAGUACAAUGUUAUUUGACAUCUUUUUAUACUUAAAGGGAAAAGGUAUUUUCCUUCAAAGACUUGUAUACUUUUGUGGAUUUUACCUGAUUUUGUUGUAACAGAGUUGUUUAUGUAGAAAUACAUAGUUCAGUAAAAUGUUUGUGUCUGUUUUUAAGCCAACAAAAAUCUUUGAGAAGCCCUCUGUGUCUUAAGAUACUUUGGAAAUUCUGGCUCUUCCCAAGCAUAGGUGGAUAUUCUCCAGGGUGACUUCCUGUGCCCAAGCAAGGAAGACAGUGUGCAUUGAGGCAUUUAAGCCUUUGCAACAGAAUGAGGGUUUAGGGGAGUUGCCAUCAAUUCCAGCUCCUGCUUCAGGGCAGCCCCACGCUUGGUAUGCUCAGAGAUCACCUGCCAUCCAGCUGGUUAUCUUCUGCCUUCAU